UACUAUUUAAACGAUGAGCAUGAUUUUAAAAUAUAUGGUCUGUUUCAUUUUAAUUCUUAUUUAUUAAUAAACACUUGGGUGCCCCGCCACACCUGAAUAUAAUUACAGUACCUACUUCCCACACACUACAUGCAUAUUAUAGAUUACAGAUGAACGAAUAAUAAUACUACGAACGCGGGCCGACACUAAGUAUCUAUACAUUGAUUAUCGCGAUAACGUACACACACUACAUACUGUGACAUUCUCGAUUCUCACAUAGCCACAGUGUCAGGAAAUUGAUUUAAUUUUCAUAAGCUAAAAGCAAAACGGAGCAAAACAAAAGAAAACUACCGGCAACUAAUAAUACUCUUUUGAAUUUUUUUUAAAAGAAGCCUGGAAUUGACAAAACAUAGAGAAAUCUGAUGAUGUAUUACCUCAUGUUGAAAAUAAAAAUUUGAUUCAAACUGUCCAAGUAACAAAUAAGAGUAAUCAUUUUGAUGCAAGUCAAAAUGACAUUGCUUUGUUUAUUAGACAUAAUUUGCUAUCAGACGAAGAUAAAAAUAACCUGAGAUUUUCGAACUUAAUGGUCUGGCAAUGUUGGCAAUUCACAAUGACAUAACAUUUUCAAAUGAAGAGGUCAUUGAUGAACUUGCUGAAAAGCCCAGAAAU